CCUACGGGUGGCAGCAGUGGGGAAUAUUGGACAAUGGGGGGAACCCUGAUCCAGCGACGCCGCGUGAGUGAAGAAGUACUUCGGUAUGUAAAGCUCUAUCAGUAGGGAAGAAAAUGACGGUACCUGUCUACGAAGCCCCGGCUAACUACGUGCCAGCAGCCGCGGUAAUACGUAGGGGGCAAGCGUUAUCCGGAUUUACUGGGGGUAAAGGGAGCGUAGACGGUGCAGCAAGUCUGAUGUGAAGGGUCGGGGGCCAACCCCGGGACUGCCGUGGAAACUGUUGAACUGGAGUACAGGAGAGGUAUGCGGAAUUCCUGGUGUAGCGGUGAAAUGCGUAGAUAUUAGGAGGAACACCGGUGGCGAAGGCAGCUUACUGGACUGUAACUGACGUUGAGGCUCGAAAGCGUGGGGAGCGAACAGGAUUAGAUACCCCUGUAGUC
rnacentral:rRNA from 1 species